rnacentral:tRNA from 2 species
GCCCCUGUGGGCUAGUCUGGAUAUGCUUGCGAACUGCGGAUUCGCAGACUCGGGUUCAAAUCCCGACAGGGGCACCA